UACGUAGGUGGCGAGCGUUGUCCGGAUUUACUGGGCGUAAAGGGAGCGUAGGCGGACUUUUAAGUGAGAUGUGAAAUACUCGGGCUCAACUUGAGUGCUGCAUUUCAAACUGGAAGUCUAGAGUGCAGGAGAGGAGAAUGGAAUUCCUAGUGUAGCGGUGAAAUGCGUAGAUAUUAGGAGGAACACCAGUUGCGAAGGCGGCUCUCUGGACUGUAACUGACACUGAGGCACGAAAGCGUGGGGAGCAAACAGG
rnacentral:rRNA from 1 species